GCCCUUAUAGCUCAAUGGUAGAGCUCCUGUCUAGAAAGCUAAAUGCCAGUGGUUCAAUCCCCAUCCGGGUCA